rnacentral:rRNA from 1 species
GACGAACGCUGGCGGCGUGCUUAACACAUGCAAGUCGAACGAUGAAGCCCUGCUUGCAGGGUGGAUUAGUGGCGAACGGGUGAGUAACACGUGGGUGAUCUGCUCCGCACUUCGGGAUAAGCCUGGGAAACUGGGUCUAAUACCGGAUAGGAUCCCCCUUUAGUGUGGGGGGUGGAAAGAUUUAUCGGUGUGGGAUGAGCUCGCGGCCUAUCAGCUUGUUGGUGGGGUAAUGGCCUACCAAGGCGUCGACGGGUAGCCGGCCUGAGAGGGUGGACGGCCACAUUGGGACUGAGCUACGGCCCAAACUCCUACGGGAGGCAGCAGUGGGGAAUCUUGCACAAUGGGCGAAAGCCUGAUGUAGCGACGCCGCGUGAGGGAUGACGGCCUUCGGAUCGUAAAGCACUGUCGGGAGGGACGAAUAAGGGCCGGGUGAACAAUCCGGUUCGACGACGGUACCUCCAGAGGAAGCACCGGCUAACUCUGU